GUUGUACUGUCGGUGCCAUGUGGCCAUCUUGAAUCUUGUUACUCUGCCACUCUUGAAGAGCAACACCGCAUCCUGACGGUUUGAUCCAAGUGGAAGCUGAGCUAAUGGUUCCAGUGGAAGACGGAAAGCAUAACGAGAUAUACCAAGAAAUCCAAAGUGAUGUGGGUGAAGUCUGAUUGAGCAUUCUGCAGGACACUGCUAAAUGUGAUUUUAAAUCUCGUGUAUGGUAUUUAAAUAGAGAAUAAGUGCAUGCUGCUUUUAUUUGUAUAAUAAAAUGCUCAAUUUGUA